AUUGAACGCUGGCGGCAUGCUUUACACAUGCAAGUCGAACGGCAGCGCGGGCUUCGGCCUGGCGGCGAGUGGCGAACGGGUGAGUAAUACAUCGGAACGUGCCCAGUAGUGGGGGAUAGCUCGGCGAAAGCCGGAUUAAUACCGCAUACGACCUGAGGGUGAAAGCGGGGGAUCUUCGGACCUCGCGCUAUUGGAGCGGCCGAUGGCAGAUUUGCUAGUUGGUGGGGUAAAGGCCUACCAAGGCGACGAUCUGUAGCUGGUCUGAGAGGACGACCAGCCACACUGGGACUGAGACACGGCCAAGACGCCUACGGGAGGCAGCAGUGGGGAAUUUUGGACAAUGGGCGAAAGCCUGAUCCAGCAAUGCCGCGUGUGUGAUGAAGGCCUUCGGGUUGUAAAGCACUUUUGGCGGGAACGAAAAGGACUGUGCCAAUACCACGGUUCGAUGACGGUACCCGCAGAAUAAGCACCGGCUAACUACGUG
rnacentral:rRNA from 1 species